GUGACAUCAGGAUGGCUCCUUUUCUUCGCAGGACCUAGCGUGGGACCAGGGGAGAGACUCAGGAGAGUGAAUUGUUUUAUUUUCACUUCCUCAGAGGCCCAGGUAUAGUCAGUUCUGAGAUAGAGGAUCCCGGGAGGGCACGCCUAUCCCAGACGUUAGAGAGGCUCUGGGAUCAGGCAGCGGCUGUGUCUGAGCUCCCGCUCUGGGCCAGGCAGCUCUCACGGAGAAGCCCAAGAUUUUUCUUACCGUCCAUGUUAAACUUGAGCACAUUUGGAAAUAUUUUAGACCUGAAAGAAAACAUCGGGACAUCAAAACAAUCACUACAGCUGGGCAGGGCCUCUGCAGCCACAGGCUUGCUGAUGAAAAGAUUUGUGGAGACUGCCUAAUGAAGUGUUCAGAAAGCGU